AAAAUUCUUAAAAUUGUUUUCAAAAAUUAAGUCUAAUUUAAGUUUGGUUGCAUUUUAUUUAUUGUAAUCAGUAAUAAACUAUUUAGUACACAUAUUUGGUACUCAUUGGAUAACAAGCAAAUGCAAAAUAAAUGAUGUACAUAUGUUUGGAAAGUUGAAGAGGCGAUGCUGCAACAACAAGCACAGCACAGAAAGACAGUCAAUCAAUAAUUAUUGGGAACAGCAAGAAGAGGGAAAAAAAACGAAACACAGACAUGCACAUGUUUAUGUCAUGGCAGUUACAAGGCAGGCCGUAACACAAUCAAUUGAACUGGCAACAAACUUGCAACACCUGCGUCAAAUGAGAGACUCAUCCGCUGAUGUGACCCGGCAUUGACCUCCAGCGAUUGGAACCCGGCCAAAUUCAAAUCAAUGACCUGGCGUACAUAGUAUAUAUUAAAAAGCUAUGCAACUGCCUUUGCAAUUUGGAAUCCAUCUACAUUAAAUGGUAUGAUAAGCCCUAAAGCUGAAAUACGGUAUGUUUUUAUUCUUCAAAAUGUAUUUAUCUUUCUUGCAAGGUAAAUACAAUUUUAUGCCUAGUUCAACAAAAAAUACUUCUGCUAAAGCUGCACAAAAUUGUAUUACAUAAAAAAUGUGGGCUGUGGUUCUU